rnacentral:rRNA from 1 species
UACGAAGGGGGCUAGCGUUGCUCGGAAUGACUGGGCGUAAAGGGCGCGUAGGCGGAGUGCUUUGUCGGGCGUGAAAUUCCAGGGCUCAACCUUGGGGCUGCGUUCGAGACGGGCAUUCUAGAGUGGAGAAGAGGGUCGUGGAAUUCCCAGUGUAGAGGUGAAAUUCGUAGAUAUUGGGAAGAACACCGGUGGCGAAGGCGGCGGCCUGGUCCUUGACUGACGCUGAGGCGCGAAAGCGUGGGGAGCAAACAGG